AACGAACGCUGGCGGCAGGCCUAACACAUGCAAGUCGAACGAGAAGCCACCUUCGGGUGGUGGAAAGUGGCAGACGGGUGAGUAACACGUGGGAACGUGCCCUUUGGUUCGGAACAACUCUGGGAAACUGGAGCUAAUACCGGAUAAGCCCUACGGGGGAAAGAUUUAUCGCCGAAGGAUCGGCCCGCGUCUGAUUAGCUUGUUGGUGAGGUAAUGGCUCACCAAGGCGACGAUCAGUAGCUGGUCUGAGAGGAUGAUCAGCCACACUGGGACGGAGAGCAGGCCCAGACGCCUACGGGAGGCAGUAGUGGGGAAUAUUGGACAAUUGGCGAAAGCCUGAUCCAGCCAUGCCGCGUGAGUGAUGACGGCCUUAGGGUUGUAAAGCUCUUUCGCCAGGGACGAUAAUGACGGUACCUGGAUAAGAAGCCCCGGCUAACUUCGUGCCAGCAGCCGCUGUAA
rnacentral:rRNA from 1 species